rnacentral:rRNA from 1 species
AAUUUAUUGCUAUUAGAUGAGCCUAUAUUAGAUUAGCUAGUUGGUAGGGUAAUGGCUUACCAAGGCGAUGAUCUAUAGCUGAUCUGAGAGGAUGAUCAGCCACACUGGAACUGAGAUACGGUCCAGACUCCUACGGGAGGCAGCAGUGGGGAAUAUUGGACAAUGGGCGAAAGCCUGAUCCAGCCAUGCCGCAUGAGUGAAGAAGGCCUUUGGGUUGUAAAGCUCUUUCAGUGAGGAAGAUAAUGACGGUACUCACAGAAGAAGUCCUGGCUAACUCCGUGCCAGCAGCCGCGGUAAUACGGAGAGGGCUAGCGUUAUUCGGAAUUAUUGGGCGUAAAGAGCGCGUAGGCUGGUUAGUAAGUUAAAAGUGAAAUCCCAGAGCUUAACUUUGGAAUUGCUUUUAAAACUGCUAACCUAGAGAUUGAAAGAGGAUAGAGGAAUUCCUAGUGUAGAGGUGGAAUUCGUAAAUAUUAGGAGGAACACCAGUGGCGAAGGCGUCUAUCUGGUUCAAAUCUGACGCUGAGGCGCGAAGGCGUGGGGAGCAAACAGGAUUAGAUACCCUGGUAGUCCACGCUGUAAACGAUGAAUGUUAAAUAUGGGAAGUUUACUUUCUGUAUUACAGCUAACGCGUUAAACAUUCCGCCUGGGAACUACGGUCGCAGAUUAAAACUCAAAGGAAUUGACGGGRACCCGCACAGCG